rnacentral:lncRNA from 1 species
GUUGUAACAGAGGGUCAACGCAGUGCUUCUGAGAGACAGGAAUGGAUACAAAAGACAGCUGAGAUGCCCUUCCUUCAGCACUCUAAGAGCAGCACACAGACACAACUCAGUGUCUCCGCUUCACUGUGUGUGGGGUCCAGGAAGCCAAGGAUGUUUGAGGAGCCACAGAACCUUCCCUGUCCGGUGUGGAGAGAGAGCUGAGAGUGAGAAGAGGAUCAGCAGGGUCUUGCUAUGUGGUUCAGGCUGGCCUUCAACUCACUAUGUAGCACAGGCUGGACUCAAAUUUGCAGAGAUCCUCCUGUCUCAGCCUCCCAAGUGCUAGGAUUACAGGUAUGCACCACCAUGCCCCACAGCUGGCACAUCUUUGGAAGAUAGGAGAACUGAAAUUUUUUUCCCUCCCCCUCCUUACAGAAAAGAAAACUGAGCCUGGAAGUUUAUCAAGGCAAGAUAGAAACAAUCCAGCCAUGUAACCUCCAGAUGGACACAUGCUUACUUUGGGCAAGAUGGGCAACACUUGCCCUCCUCCCUGAGAGCCUCUCCAUACCCAGGGCAAGCUGGCUGGGAGCGCAUUUUCCCUGGCUGAAUCCUGUCUCCAGCCCAGAGUCCCUCCUGGAGCAGCCAGCACAAUUAUGCCCACUUUCCUCUCUGAAAUGGUUGACCUGCAUUUCUGAGUUGCUG